rnacentral:rRNA from 1 species
ACCCGCUGAAAUUAAGCAUAUUAGUAAGCGGAGGAAAAGAAACUAACAAGGAUUCCCUUAGUAACGGCGAGUGAAGCGGGAACAGCUCAAAUUUGAAAUCUGCGGUGCUUGCAUCGUCAGAAUUGUAGUUAAGAGAAGUGUUUUCCCCGGGACGCCUGCCGGCCUAAGUUGCUUGGAACAGCACGUCAUAGAGGGUGAGAACCCCGUCUGUGGCUCGGCGGACGCUCGGUAUGAUGCACUUUCGACGAGUCGGGUUGUUUGGGAAUGCAGCCCAAACUGGGUGGUAAACUCCAUCUAAAGCUAAAUAUUGCCACGAGACCGAUAGCGAACAAGUACCGUGAGGGAAAGAUGAAAAGCACUUUGAAAAGAGAGUUAAAAGCACGUGAAACCGUUGAAAGGGAAACGCGCUCGGCUAGCAAUGUGCCAGCACGGUUCAGCCGCUUUGGGCGCGGAGUCGGCGGUCGUCGGAUCCGAACGGACCGCGAUUGUGGGCGUCCGUGUUCGAAGUUCGGUGCACUCUGUGUUGGCACGCGUCAGCGUCGGUUCGGAGCGGGCGACAAGGCGCGGAGGGAAGGUAGCUCGGGCUCGCUCGAGUAUUAUAGCCCACCGCGCUGGGUCUGCUGCGGACCGAGGAGAGAGAGGAUCGCUGCAGCGCAUGCCGCAAGGCUAGCUGCCCGCCGUCCGGCUUGCUUCACGGGCUGAGGACUGCACGCAGUGUUCGGCUUGGCGAGGUGGUCUGGCGGUGGAGCGGUAUAAAUGCGCUUAGGACGCUGGCGUCCAAAUGGCCGUGCGCGACCCGUCUUGAAACACGGACCAAGGAGUCUAACAUGUGCGCGAGUCUUUGGGUGUGAAAACCCUCGGGCGCAAUGAAAGUGAAGGCUCGCAUUGGCGGGCUGAGGUGAGAGCCGGUGCUGCGGCGUCGGUGCAUCAUCGACCGGUCCAUUCUUCUCUAAGAAGGAUCCGAGUAAGAGCGUAUUUGUUGGGACCCGAAAGAUGGUGAACUAUGCCUG